GUGCCGAGUUCUCCAUUUCCGGUUCUGAUGAUCACUGGACUCAUUCCUGGAAUCAUAUUUAUUUUCCUCCUGUUCCUGUUCCUGUACAAAAAGGUCUACAGAAAGAAAGUUCUGCCGAUGACCAGAGGGUGAGUCAGGAUGAAAAUCAACAACAAGUCUACUCCUCUCUUCUUCAUGGUGAUCGUUCUGUCUAUGAAACAAUCAGAGGCUCUGGAAAUACUCAAAAUGCUGGGUGACCUGUGUGCUGUAGGUCCAGUGGCUCCUUCUUGUGGAAAGUCAGCGAUUCUUUCUAUCGAAAGUGGGUGAGCUAUGAGAAGUGACAGUAGUUUGAGCAUCUCCUUUCCUAUAACUCAGUGGUUCCCAAACUUUUUUUUCUAGACCCCCUGUCACAGGCUGGGUCUCUGACCCAGCGCUCUGAGUUCAUGUUUGUAUUUGUCUCAUUUUGUUAUAUGAUUUAGUUUGUGUUAUUUCCUAUCUGCCUUUAGUUUAGGCAGUUAUUGUUCCUGGGUUUUCUAUGUUUUGGGGUUUUGUAUUUAUUCAUCACGUAUUAGGUCUGUUAAGUUGUGUUGUCAUGUUUAGUUUUAGUAUUUCCUGUUUUAUUUUGACAAUGUCAUGUGUUCUUUGUUCAUUGUAUUUAGCUUUCCUCUCCUGGUCCUGUCAUUAGGUUUAUGUCUGUCAGCUGUUCCCCAUGUGUCCCCACUUCCCCUGAUCACCUCAUGUCUGUAUUUAAGCCUUUUGUUUUCUUCAUGCCAUUGUCGGUUCGUCUGUUUACCUCAGCCAUAGUUCUAGUUUUCGUCUGUUAAUUCCACGUUAGUCUUAGUCUGUUUAUUCUGCCCUAGUUCUAGCCUGGUUCUGUUUAUUUUGACCUCGGUCUUAGUUAUGGUUUUCAUCUGUUAUUCAUCAUUAGUCUUAGUCAUAGUAUUUGCUGGUUAUUUUCCAUCACAGUCAUAGUUUAGGUUUUGGUCUCAGUACCGUUUAGUGUUUUGUUUCUUAGUGUUUUGUCAGUUUACUUUGGUUUCCUGGUUUACUUCUGCCGUCAUCUAAUAAAGGAUCACUUUUCUGCUCAAACUUUCAACUACUCGUCAUCAUCUGCUUUUGGGUCCUGUUUCCACACACAUCGGCGCACCCCGC